rnacentral:rRNA from 1 species
GACAGAGGGUGCAAACGUUGUUCGGAAUUACUGGGCGUAAAGGGCGCGUAGGCGGUUCGUCAAGUCCUGUGUGAAAUCCCCCGGCUCAACUGGGGAACUGCACAGGAAACUAGCGGGCUUGAGUUCGGGAGAGGGAAGCGGAAUUCCGGGUGUAGCGGUGAAAUGCGUAGAUAUCCGGAGGAACACCGGUGGCGAAGGCGGCUUCCUGGACCGACACUGACGCUGAGGCGCGAAAGCUAGGGGAGCAAACGGG